GACAGAGGGUGCAAACGUUGUUCGGAAUUACUGGGCGUAAAGCGUGUGUAGGCGGUUUGGUAAGUCGGAUGUGAAAGCCCCGGGCUCAACCCGGGAAGUGCACUCGAUACUGCCAAGCUAGAGUAUCGGAGAGGUUGGUGGAAUUCUCGGUGUAGAGGUGAAAUUCGUAGAUAUCGGAAGGAACAUCAGUGGCGAAAGCGACUUCCUGGACCAAUACUGACGCUCAUGUGCGAAAGCGUGGGGAGCAAACAGG
rnacentral:rRNA from 1 species